UAUCCCCAAACCCAAAACCAAUCUCAAUUCUCUAAAGCCAAAUAUGCUUAAAUUGGAUAGAACAAAAGGAGACUAAGGAGGGAGUUCGAAUCUGCCCCCACAGACUUGCGCCUCAAAAACGUCCCACGCCAUUACAAGAUGCCACGUGUCCUCUUAUACGCUCUCUAACGGGAUGGCUAUUAGUUCGUCCUGUUAGCUCCCAUUUCACCCAAAAAGUGAGUGAACUUCCCUCUUUACUCCGAGUUCGAAUUUCAGUCUUUCACUCCUCUCUCUCGACCUACGCUCUCUAAAACUCAGACCGUCCCCAUUUCCUCCUCUACCGGGUCUUGCCGAGUUCGAAUUCCCUCUUUCAACACCGACGAUCGUUCCGGCAGAUACACCAGAGUCUCGACUUUAUCGAAGUUUCGACUUUCAAUAAGAAGGCUUGCUCAACCAGCUCAAGUAUAUCAAUUCAUGAGGCUUAGAUGUUGAAAGACUUCAACCGUUGAAAUCAAGUUGGGAUUUUGAACCGGCAAUCUGGUUCCAUCGGAGUCUUGUUUUAAUGCAUGUACGAGG